AUUGAACGCUGGCGGCAUGCUUUACACAUGCAAGUCGAACGAGUGGCGGACGGGUGAGUAACGCAUCGGAACGUACCGGGUAAUGGGGGAUAACUACUCGAAACGGCAGCUAAUACCGCAUAUUAUCGGAGCGGCCGAUGUGUGAUUAGCUGGUGGGUGGGGUAACGGCUCACCAAGGCGACGAUCCGUAGCGGGUCUGAGAGGAUGACCCGCCACACUGGAACUGAGACACGGCCCAGACUCCUACGGGAGGCAGCAGUGGGGAAUUUUGGACAAUGGGCGCAAGCCUGAUGCAGCCAUGCCGCGUGUAUGAAGAAGGCCUUCGGGUUGUAAAGUACUUUUGGCAGGGAGGCGUUACCCGAAGAAUAAGCACCGGCUAACUACGUGCCAGCAGCCGCGGUAAUUC
rnacentral:rRNA from 1 species